CGCCGCCGCGCGGCCGCCGAGCCCGGCCGCGGAGCCCCCGCCGGGCUUGAAGGUCACCUCCGCCCGCUCGCCCCGCUCCGGAGCCGCUUUCGGCGGAGGCUGGCGAGCGGCAGCGCCUCCGCCCACAGCCGGCCAGGUCCCUGCCCGAGCGCCGCGGGGCUCCCGCUGGCCACGGCACAGCGCAGCAGCGGGAAGCCGCCCGCUUCGCUCGCCCCCUCCACCGGCCGCCGCUGCCCGCUCUGCCCGCGGGCGGGCCGGGGGCUCCGCUACCGGGCGGCGGCGGCGGGGGGGGCGCGGCGCGCAGCCGGGAGGGCGGGGAAGGGCUGAGGCGGCGGCGGCGGCGGCGGCGGCGAGGAGCCGCGUCCCGCUGCCACUUUCCCGGCGCGGCCGCUGGCUUCGGACGGGAGAGGCGCCGCGGUCGCCGCCCGCCUCUUUAUGGAAACUACACAGAAGCCCCAUGCAAGUGGUGCCUAUUGUUUUCAUGAUCGGAGACUUCUUUCUCGAUUAUCACUGGAGGAGAGAGGGAGGACAAAUGGAGCUGAAUCUGGAGUAAAACCAAGGGAAAUUCUCACAUUAAAGAUUCACCGAUGAAUCUGCAGACUUUAUGCAAAUCCAGUGGGUAUUUUGUGGAAGUAUUAAUGAGUGUCACAUCCUGAUUACUGCAGACUUUCCCUUACGUUUCCAGCUGUAACAAAUCCAACUGAAACUGCUAAAAUCAACAACAGAAGUCCACAACAGUUUGUCAGAAAAAUGUAUGAAAAUUAUUUUUAACGUGUUUUACCCUAAUUAUUCUUGGAAACGUAUCUAGGUGUUAAUUUCAGAUAUCCUAUAUGUGUUCCCUGAUGGAUGACAGAUUUUAUGUUGGUUCCCUUAAAUCUGACAACAUUUAUAUUGGUCCCCUUAAAUCCCUCUAAAGGACCAUCUCCAGGACUGAGGUGUUUUUUGCAUCUCAGUGCAGGGGAAGCCUUGUAAGCUAACUGCCCUGGCACUGCGUCUCCUAUUAGAAAUCUGCUUCUUUACCAACAGCUACUGUGAGCAACCCUUUUUGCCAUGGCAUGUACUGGUCCUUUUGCUUUGCAUGACCUGCAGCCUGUGACAUAUAAAUUGACUCCAGACACAUCGAUUUAUUUGCUCUCAAAAACUGCAAAGAAUACAAAGUAAAAAAUAAUUCCUGAAAAGCCCUAAAAAACCAGUUAAUUAGCAUGUUCCUGUUUACCGAAGAAUUCUGUUCAAGGUUUUAUAUAUUAAAACAGAGCUAACUUGCCUGUCUCCCUGUGACCUUUUUGUUGCGUGGGCAGCCUGCUCUAGCUUGUCUCCCAGCCCUUAUGGGUUUUGAAUUUGUGAGGUGAUUUCAUGUUCCCUUUGCUCUCUUUUCACUUGGUCUUGCAAAGGCAUUCCGUCUUUAGAACUGGGCUAGGAAAGCCAUUGAAGGUAUCAUCAGUGUACAAAUAUGGGGGGAGAAAUGUUUUCAUGGCUCUGAUAUGAAGACAUCUAAAUAUGAUAGCAGACUGGGAGUUUCAUAUCUUUUGUUUAGCCUGUCUU
rnacentral:lncRNA from 1 species